AGCCUACCGGUCUCCUUCUGCUGGAGCGUGUGAGUGUGAGAGCCGAGUUUGGAAGAGAGAGGAAAGGUGGAGAGACAUAGACAGAUAAUAAGAGAGAAAGAGAGAGGGAAAAGAAGUAUGUGUGUGGAUGUGUGUGUGAGAGAGAGAGAUCAGAGCUGGGAAGCUCAAGAAAACAACAGGACACAAUCAACUCUUCUGUCUGCAAAGAUCAUGAGAACAUCUGAUGGCAGUCGGACAGCUUCUUUAGGAAUGACGAUGAUGAAGGCAAUGUGUGCAUUAUGAUGUGUGAAUCUGCAUGGAGAAUCGGUGAAAGAUGCAGUCAGAUGUCUAUGGUGGGGCAGGGCAGCUGGUGUUGUGAAUCAGGCCGCCGUAGUGAAAGGGUACGGCUUCUUCACAACACCAGGGUCUCACCUCAUCACACACAAACGUUUGGACAAACGUCUGAAUGAAGCUUUUUCACCAACCACGAUCUUGUACAUGACAUACAGACUUGUAUAAACGUGUGAUUGUUAAAAUGAUAUACCGGUAAUAGGAGUGUGUGCAGAAGAGUGGCCUGAUUUUUGUGUAUUUUUAAACGCAGAGAUUAUGCCAAUGGCCAAAAAAUUUAUAUAGGCUGGUAAGUACUGUGUGAAUUUGAUAUCAAUGAUUCAUAAUUGUUCAUAAAAGUUGACAUUUUAUUUAAAUAUUUCUAAUAUUUGCAUAAUAGUUAAUAGAUAUGUUCAAUGUGAAUUCUAAUUUCUUCUCAUGUAUUUGGAAACAAUGUAUUGUGUGCAUGAAUUACUAGCUUAUGGUGACUUGUUUUUAAAUGUGACAAAAUAAAAGUCAAUCAUAUAAUGACUGUGUGUAUUUUUUUUUUAAAUAAAGAAAAAGCAGGCUAAAGCACGCACAUCA